GCCGGUGGGCGGGGCGGGAGAUGCGGAGACCGCGGAGUGGGGCCGCCCCACGGGCUGGGUGCCGGAGCUACGCCGUAGGGGCGCGGCGUCGCGGCGGCCCGAGCCGGGAAGACCCAUUCUCUUUACGCGGCUGCCGUAAGGAAACUUGGUCCGCCCUCCCUCGGUGCUCCGGAGUCCUGGCCCCGGCUCCCCGGUGCGCCACGGGUCGGCGAAGCGCCUCUGCGUCAGGGCCUCGCUCCCCCGCCAGGUGCGGGGCCUCGGCGCCAUGGACUCGUCGGCGCUGGAGCGGGACGCCGUGCAGUUCGCGCGGCUGGCGGUGCAGCGCGACCACGAAGGGCGCUAUUCGGAGGCGGUGUUUUACUACAAGGAAGCUGCACAAGCCUUAAUUUAUGCUGAGAUGGCAGGAUCGAGCCUAGAACACAUUCAAGAAAAAAUAAAUGAAUAUCUGGAAAGAGUUCAGGCUUUACAUUCAGCAGUUCAGUCAAAGAGUGCUGAUCCUUUGAAAUCAAAACAUCAGUUGGACUUGGAGCGUGCCCAUUUCCUUGUUACACAAGCUUUUGACGAAGAUGAAAAGGGGAAUGUUGAAGAUGCUAUAGAAUUGUAUACUGAAGCCGUAGAUCUCUGUCUAAAAACUUCCUAUGAAACUGCUGAUAAAACUCUGCAAAAUAAACUGAAACAGUUGGCUCGACAGGCACUAGAUAGAGCAGAAGCAUUGAGUGAGCCUUUAACAAAGCCAUUAUGCAAAGUCAAGUCAACCAAUAUUAAACCAAAGCCACCUCCAGCAAGAGCACAUUUUCCACUAGGAACUAACCCCUUUCUUGAAAGACCUCAGCAGUUUAUAAGUCCACAGGCAUGCGAUGCACAAGGACAGAGAUACACGGCAGAAGAAAUAGAAGUUCUCAGGACAACAUCAAAAAUAAAUGGUGUAGAAUAUGUUCCUUUCAUGGCUAUCGACCUGAGAGAACGUUUUGCCUUUCCAAUGCCUUUCUGUGAUAGAUUGGGCAAGCUACCAUUAUCACCUAAACAAAAAGCUAUGUUUUCCAAAUGGGUACGCCCAGAAGACCUCAGCAACAAUCCUACAAUGAUUUAUACUGUGUCCAGUUUCAGCAUAAAACAGACAAUAGUAUCAGAUUGUUCCUUUGUUGCAUCACUGGCUAUUAGUGCAGCUUAUGAAAGACGAUUUAAUAAGAAGUUGAUUACCAGCAUAAUUUACCCUCAGAAUAAGGAUGGUGAGCCAGAGUAUAAUCCAUGUGGAAAGUAUAUGGUAAAACUUCACCUCAAUGGUGUCCCAAGAAAGGUGAUAAUUGAUGACCAGUUACCUGUUGAUCAUAAGGGAGAAUUGCUUUGUUCUUAUUCUAACAACAAAAGUGAAUUAUGGGUUUCUCUCAUUGAAAAAGCAUAUAUGAAAGUCAUGGGAGGAUAUGAUUUCCCAGGAUCCAAUUCAAAUAUUGAUCUUCAUGCACUGACUGGGUGGAUACCAGAAAGGAUUGCUAUGCAUUCAGAUAGCCAGACUUUCAGUAAGGAUAAUUCUUUCCGAAUGCUUUAUCAAAGGUUUCACAAAGGGGAUGUCCUCAUCACUGCAUCAACUGGAAUGAUGACUGAAGCUGAAGGAGAAAAGUGGGGUCUGGUUCCCACACAUGCAUAUGCUGUUUUGGAUAUUAGAGAGUUCAAGGGGCUGCGAUUUAUCCAGUUGAAAAAUCCCUGGAGUCAUUUACGUUGGAAAGGACGAUAUAGUGAAAAUGAUGUAAAAAACUGGACCCCAGAGUUGCAAAAAUAUUUAAACUUUGAUCCUAGAACAGCUCAAAAAAUAGACAAUGGAAUAUUUUGGAUCUCGUGGGAUGAUCUCUGCCAAUAUUAUGAUGUGAUUUAUUUGAGUUGGAAUCCAGGUCUUUUUAAAGAAUCAACAUGUAUUCACAGUACUUGGGAUGCUAAGCAAGGACCUGUGAAAGAUGCCUAUAGCCUGGCCAACAAUCCCCAGUACAAGUUGGAGGUGCAGUGUCCACAAGGGGGCGCUGCAGUUUGGGUUUUGCUUAGUAGACACAUAACAGACAAGGAUGAUUUUGCAAAUAAUCGAGAAUUUAUCACAAUGGUUGUAUACAAGACUGAUGGAAAAAAGGUGUAUUAUCCAGCUGACCCGCCCCCAUACAUUGAUGGGAUUCGAAUUAACAGCCCUCAUUAUUUGACUAAGAUAAAGCUGACCACACCUGGGACCCAUACCUUUACAUUAGUGGUUUCUCAGUAUGAAAAACAGAAUACAAUCCAUUACACAGUCCGGGUAUAUUCAGCAUGCAGCUUUACUUUUUCAAAGAUUCCUUCACCGUACACCUUAUCAAAGCAGAUUCAUGGAAAGUGGAGUGGUCAGAGUGCUGGAGGAUGUGCAAAUUUCCAAGAGACUCAUAAAAAUAAUCCCAUUUACCAAUUCCAUAUAGAAAAGACUGGGCCAUUACUAAUUGAACUAAGAGGACCAAGGCAGUAUAGUGUUGGAUUUGAAGUUGUAACGGUGUCUGUGGUGGGAGACCCUGGUCCCCAUGGCUUUCAGAGGAAAUCUAGUGGUGACUACAGGUGUGGGUUUUGCUACCUGGAAUUAGAAAAUAUACCUGCUGGGAUUUACAAUAUCAUUCCCAGUACAUUUUUGCCUAAACAAGACGGACCUUUUUUCUUGGACUUUAAUAGUAUUAUUCCCAUCAAGACAACACAGCUUCAGUGAUGGGGAAAUGGCUGCACUUACUGGAUUUUAUACUUACCAAACAAUCAACUCUUCAAAUGAAGACACAAAUCUGCAGGACACUAAACAAGAUGAAAAUUGUCAUAUUCGUUUAAUAGCUGGGAAACAGAAAUCUCUAGCAUGUGCUUGUCAAGAGGACUGUUGUGAUGAGAGACAGAACCCACGCUAUGGAGCCGGAAGCCCCCAGAACAGGACUUGGAAACUAUCUCAGUGAUAAACACCGACAGCACAUUCACACAGCCCUGGGGGCUCCAAGACCUGGUCACGGUCUAGAACAAGGUCUAGGACAGUGCAGAGAUCUGGCUGCAAAGGCAGGGUCACCCGGGACAGCACUACUGGUGAGAGGGCUGCAACUCACCUCGUUCCACCUCACACUCCGGGGAGGAGGCCCCGCUGCAUUCACUGCGAGGGCCUAAUACUGGAAACAUCACUCCAAACUCUGACAGGGACACAGGGCUGGGAAGAUCCAGGCUGCCGGGCCUCACAACUGCAGAAAACUGGUCGGCCAUCCCAGAUGGGCUCAUGGGUCCUGAACUAAAGCUGGACACAGACUGGGUCUCCGAGUCAUCUUCAGACACAAAGGUGCUGCAGUUGUCAUCUUCAAAGGCCUCAGAGGCCACUAGGAUGAGAGAGAACACCAGUCACACAGGUUCUGAUAGCAGCCUAAUUCCUUAAACACCUCCAGAAGCGUUUGCUGCUGCAGACAGCUAGACACAGCAUGGGGACUGCAGAAUCCCUGCCACUGUGGGUGCCUAACAAAAGGAACGUGACCCUCCCCAGCAUGCACGACCAGACUAACGCAGCUAAAGGGAAGUGGCUGGCAGCUGGGUCCCAUGCAUGGUCAGUGUCCUGCAGUAAUGUCAUAGCCUGUGUGCCCUACAAGUUAGUGUCAGUAGACACUGCCUAAAGGUAGAAGAUGAAUUCAGCCACAGAUCAGGGACUUUUCUCCACUCCUGUCCCCCCUACCCCCCAAAAGAUCCACACUUGCACCGGAAGAGGGCUGGCCCUUUGUAAAGGAUCCCCAGCAAAGCCAGUCAGACAUCAAGGCUUUCCUCCACAACAGAAGCAGGAGCUGCUGGGAAAAACAGCCCUGCUUGGAAUACCUGCUGGGACCUUUGCUGUCUUCCAGGUGACUUAUCUCAAAAGACGCACUCAGAGCCUACCUAGGUCACAGUUUGCUGCAGAAGAAAAUUCCUUCCCAGUGCUCUGUAAUUGGACUUACUUUUAGACCAGAAUAACCAAGGCCCAGAGACAUGUCAUUGUCAUGGUUCGAAAGCCACUUCAGCCUUUAACUAGUUCCCUCUGCCUGCACAUAAUCCUGCUUAUUAGAUUUUUCCUCUUCUACUCCCCUUUCUUCCUCCCUCAUCUUUAAAAACAGCCUUGUGGCAUCCCAUAGAUGAUUACCAUAAAUGAGAAAUGCUGAAAUGUUGGGGGCAAAAUGGGCUCAAAUCUGAUUCCCAAUCCUGUUUCCACUAUUUGUUGUAUAGCCUUGGUCAAGUUACUUAACCUCUGAGCUUCACAUUCCUCUCCAUAGAGGGUAAAUGAGAUGAUGCAUAUCAAAGUCCUCAUAUUGUUGAUUCUCAGAUCAUAGUUUCCUCUUCCUUUACUUGGGCCCCCACUUGAACAUUUGUUGGGAAAGGAGCCUGGGAAAGAGCCACUGGGGACCACGGCACAGAAAGGAAGAGGAAUUGUACAAAGACGGUGUUGGAGAGUUUUCAUGGUUAACAUAAAGGGAGCCACAUCAAACCUCUAAUACCAGUUUUCCUGGAAAAGGGCUCUCUAUGGUCAGACACCAGUGACAGCCACCACUGUGGAAUGUUAAUUUCAUUAAUCCUUACCACCACUCUACAGUAGAGAGUAGGUACUACCAUACUCCCCAUUCUGCAGCUGAAGAAAGAGAUAAAAGAUAAAUCCUUGCCUGCAUCAUGUGCUCGUAAUGAUGGGAAGGUGAGGAUGUGAAUCAAACCUAAUUCCAGAGCCCUGUUCUUAGCUCUUUCCUGCAGUGCUUCUCAGGCCCUUGUGUGUUGUAGUAUGCACUUUGAACCUCAGAGAGGAGUGAACAUAUGACAUUUUUCCCAAACUUACUUGACCAGAGAAUCCUGAUUUUGAGGAACACAGCGUUCCACAAAAUGUGGUAAGUCACCAGAAAUAGCCCUCGGUCCCGCCCAAGUGAGGCUCUUCUGUGAUGGGGAAGACGGCCCGAAGCUGACCACACAACUUGCAUACGAGCCCCCGACUCACCAGAAACAGCAUCUGGCUCGGGUUUGCUCUCGGGCAGGUCCCCUGCAGAUGUGCUGCUGCCCUCAGCGCCCACGCCGCAGCCCCGAGGCCCCAUGGCGCUGGAGCGCCGCCGCUCGUGUAUCUCGUCCGAGAUCAUCUCCAGGUUCUUCAGGGCCGUCUUGUACUCGCCUUUUGCCAGGGCCAGUUUGGCCUGCAGGUCGUCCACGGUCUUCUUCAGUUGCUGGUCAGGAGAACAGGAGGCUCAGUAAGUGAAGGCUGCCCCUGCCGGCCUUGGGAUGCUUUUGAAUGGCAGGUCCAAGCAUGUUUUCUGCCCAUCACUCCACUCCAAGACAUGACCGAGGAUCUGAUUAUUCCUAUCAAAGCUGUCUGUGUACCAGAUAUAAAGCAGCCACUACCACUUCCAACUCCCAUCUGGGUAACAAACAAGCUCCAUAUCCAGAAACUACCACUGGCAGAACAAGCCCAAUCAGGGAAACAACAGUGGGUGUCAGAUUCACACAGAAGUCCCACAUUCUAGCCAUUUGGUCCCCAGCACUGUGGUUCUCGAACUUGUACCAGAAUGCCCUGGAGGGCUCUUGUAUCAGAAUACCUUGUUAGAGCUCACACGGCUGGGCUCCAUUCACAGUGGGCGUGGGGAACGACUUAGCAAUUUGUACUGUUAACAAGUUCCCAAGCGAUGUUGAUGUUACUGGUCCUAGGAGCAUACUGAGAACCACUGCCCAGUACAAUAUAGAAAGUGACUAAUCAGCAGAUGCAGAGAACGUCAGAGACCACGCAAGACCAUUUAGAGGCCUGAAAACUCAAUAAAGAAUGUCUCUCCACUCUCCUCUUGUAGCGAAUGAGGUAUUUGAAAGUAUCACAAAAAGUGGGGCUUUGCAUAAAAAUCCCAUCACCAACAAAACCAAAGGCCACACAUACCUCAAGCUGCAUGUAGUACUUUGCCUUGAGUUCAAAAUAAGGCCUGUGAAAGACAGAAAAAACAAGAGUGACAUAACACAGUGAAACUCCAUGAGGUGUGCAAGGCUAGGUCGUCCACGAGCUGAAGGUGGUGCUCCCAGCUCUGGGGCCUGAUGGAUACAGAUGCCAGUCAGAGGCACUGGGCUCACUCAAGAUUUGGGGAAUCCACACAUGUACACAGGUCCUGGAGCCCCUGCAUCCUGGUUCACUUUCCUCUCUGGGGAGGCUGCUUAAGGUCACAGGUUGUGCCCUGCAGCUAAUGUGGCCCGGAUCUCUUCUAAGGAGGUGGGCUCCCCAGGGAUGACCAGCAGAUAAGACUGGAUAAGGGGCUGUCUCAAACACCCUCUUCGAAAAGCUGGGUAAGGGGGAAGCACCAGUCCUCCCCCGACAACACAGCAGAGCCACUGGAAGGACGGGCUCAGGUUGCUCCCCUUGGGCUUUGUCCAGGAUAGAAGUAUGAGCUGGUCUACAGACCCAACUAGGUCAUGGGCAAGAGCAAGAACAAGAAAUGCAAACAUUAUACUAGUCCCCUGGGCUCUUGGUCAGCCAGAAGACCCUGGCUCUUUUUAGUGGCUCUGGCGCCUGAGCAUGAGGGGUAGACCAAUGCUUUACUCUUGAUUUGUUCACCUGCCGUGAAGCUCUGGGACUGUCUUUGGCUGUUGGGUCUAGGCCAGUGGUCAGCAAACUCAUUAGUCAACAGAGCCAAAUAACAGUACAAUGAUUAAAAUUUCCUUUGAGAGCCAAAUUUUUUAAACUUAAACUAUAUAGGUAGGUACACUGUUAUUAACUUAAUUAGGGUACUCCUAAGGCUUAGGAAGAGCCACACUCAAGGGGCCAAAGAGCCGCAUGACAGCUCAUCUCCACUCUGACAGAUAAACAGGCCCAGCCAAUGGGCCAUGGAAUGGUUUGCUUUUGAAAUUCCUUUUUCUGUGUUCCCCAGGAGCGGCCCCCAACUCAGCAUUUGUCCCUCUGGGAUAGGAAGCCUGGGCAAGAGGUUCUGGUGAGGCAGGUCCCUGAGUGCAGGGCACAUAAACGGUUGAGAAGAUGCGGAAGAAGAGAGCACCAUAUGGCCUCGGACCCUUAUACCCAGACUCACUUGGAUUUGUUGAUGGCUCUCUUGAGUUUCUUCUCCAGCUGCCGCAUGCGGCCCAUGGCCGCGUUGUACCUGGCUGCCGUCUCCUUGUGCACCAGCUCGCUCCUUGUCUUGGUGUGCUCUGCCUCCAUGACCUUCAAACAACAGAAGAGGUCAACCCAGCCAAGCCCAGAACAGUCCCUUGUUGGGGUAUAUCAUUUUUCUAAAAUAUCCUUUGAGUAAAUUAAUGGGCAGGCUGAAUUUAACUUCCAACGCGAACAGGAUUGCUUCAUCCUAUUUUUCUAUUUUGGAAAAGUCUUUGUCAGGACUAAAUAGCCAAAUUGGCUGUGGCAAUGACCAAGAAAGAAAACAAGGAAAAACAAAAAUACAAUAAAAAUGAAGCAUUCUCUGAUUCAAUCAACAUCCACUUCCUUCUGCUCAGGCCUCCUGGGUCUAAAUAGCUUGAGUUCCUGCUUCCACCUUGGGGCAGGCAAAUCGGCAAAUAGCACCAGUGGGAUUUUAGACAUCAAAGAACUGGGAUACCUAGCAAAGCAGGCAUGACAGCAUCAGGACAAGGCAAUUACCCUUGUUGUCCAGGAUAAUUAUGAAGUGUCAGGAAAAGUUAUGAGAGACUGAAGUGAGCAUAAAAAGUCACUGGGUGUCCUGUCUAGCACACCCUCCCAGGUCACUGGAGCUAUUUUAUGACCCUGUUAAGUUAUAGAAAGUGGAUAGUAAUACAGAUUAUUCUUAUUCCUAGAAAUGAAGAUGAAUUCUGUCCUAGUGGAGGUGCAUCUGAUAAUAUUAAUUACCCUGUAAAUAUUUACCAAUUUUGUAUCAGUUUAUAAAUUUGUUUCUGCAUCCCUGGUUUUCUACAUGAAUGUGUUUGUUGAAUUCUUCUUUGAAAUAGUUGUAACAUCUUACUAGUUCCCUCCUUAGUUAAUGAAUUAAAACCUUUGACACAGGAA